UGAAAAUCCACUCAGGGGCCUUGGGACCCCAGAGCUCCCUCCCAGACAGGGCUGAGUUCUCUAAGGAAGGCAGUGGUUUGGUUUAACCAUGAGACUGCUGGGUCUUCUUUUGUGCCUGGUGACAGCUCUCCAUGGCAUCUUCUGUCAGGUGCAGCUGCAAGAGUCGGGGCCUGGCCUGGUUAAGCCCUCGCAGACCCUGUCCCUCACAUGCACAGUCUCUGGCUACUCCAUCACCAGUGGUUAUGACUGGGCCUGGAUCCGUCAGCCCCCAGGAAAGAGCCUGGAGUGGAUGGGGUACAUAAGUAGCGGUGGUAGCACUAGAUACAACCCGUCGCUCCAGAGCCGCAUGUCCAUCUCCAGAGACACAGGCAAGAACCAGUUCUCCCUGCAGCUAAAAUCUGUCACUGCAGAAGACACUGCCACCUAUUACUGUGCAAGAGAGUCACAGUGCUUUGAUAUAAGUGUGAGCCCCAACAUAAACCUCCCUGCAGGGAAACUCUAG